rnacentral:lncRNA from 10 species
GGGGAGAAUGUGUGCUAGAUGGCUUUCUGUGAUAACCAUGAACAGCUUCUCUUUCUGCUCUCACCAGCCCGCCGCUCAGGCCUGAGAGAUCUGCCAGAACACAUCCCUCCUGGAGCCAGGUCCUGAUUCACGGCUUUUCAUUACUGCGUUUCAUUCUCAGAGGAAUAGACCCUCCUCAGGGCCUCAAAAUCACCAACAAGUCUCGAGAGGUUGGCAGGAAGUGCCUCCUCUCCCACGCCUCUCCUUGCCCGCACAGCCUCUGUUCCAGCUCGCCCUCCCCCUUGCUCACCACCAUCAUGUCCCCGGUGUGCAGGAGGUCACAAGCAUCAAUCGUCAUGCAGACUGGAGCUAGAAAAAGAUUGACAAUUUCACCAUGCCUGCCUUAGCAUAUGGCUCUUAGGUUAGUAUAAGGUUGGUCACCAAGUAAUAGGUUUGAGUUUUCAAAACAAUCACUAAGAGGUCUGGAUAUUCAUUCCUAAGUCCUUUCCCUCCCACUAGGGGAGUGUCUUCAAGGCAUCUUGGUUAUGGUCUAGGGUUGUGGAGUGGUUGCCAGGGUUGCCUAAUCCCUAAGUAUCCCAAGUCUUAUCUGAGGAUUGAUGAAAUAUAUCACAUACAAGCCAGACACAGUGGCAUGUGCCUGUAAUCCCAGCCUCUUGGGAGACAGAGGCAGGAAGAUAGCUUGAGUCCAGAAGUUCAAGACGAGCCUGGGCAACAUAGCAAGACCCCAUCUCUAAAAAAAAAAUUGAAAGAAACACAGAAAUAUAUCACAUGCAUGUAUUACUAUUACUCAAUUAUUACAGAGAUACAGAUGCACUUUAAUAAUUCAUUUUGAAAACUUUUUGCAGUGUCUUUUGUUAGUUCCAAUCACUAAGAUGCUGUGUUCCAUGGAAAGGGGCCAUAUUCAUCAAGAAUUUGAGAACCAUGGCUCUAGCGGUCUGAAGCUCCAAGCUCCUAAGACUGCCUAACCAAAACAAAGACACUGGUAUAUAUUUUCCAUUCAUUUAUGAGUUUUCAAAAAAUUUAGGUCUUUAUUAAGAGUUAAAUAUAAACAUUAACUCAUUGUGUUACAGAGAAAUAGGGUCUUUGGAGGAACUGUUUGAACAUGGGUCACAGUUACUUGUUUAUGUAACACGAUUUAGAGGGGUACAAAGAUCCUUGGCAGGAAGGGUAGGAGGAGGAGAUGGAGGAGAUGGGAGAGAAGGAAGGAAGCACCUGUGAAAUCCCUACCUUCAACCUUGUCAGUUUCCAAUUUGCAUAUGCUCAUGUCCCUAAUGAAAAGCACCUCCAAAAUAGACUUCUUUCAUUUAGAUAUAUGUAUUUUUGCGUUAUGACUUUUUCCAUUACAACAGCACAAAACCCAAGAAGGUAGCUGGUGUGGCGAUGCACAACUGUAUUCUCAGUUAUGAGGGAGGCUGAGAUGGGAGAAUCACUUGAGCCCAGGAGUUCGAGGCUACAGUGAUCUAUAAUUGCACCACUACACUCCAGCCUGGGUGACAGAACAACCUCGUCUCUUAAAAAAAAAAAAAUUUAAGUAAACUAGACUUGAAAUCAGGUUUUCAAAUUGCUGUAUUACAAAGUCUUAAAUCACGAUUAAAAAAAUAACAAAACUUGCCUAUAAUCCCAACUACUCAGGAGGCUGAGGUGGAAGAAUCACUUGAACCCAGGAGGCGGAGGUUGCAGUGAGCCGAGACUGCGCCGCUGUACUCAGCCUGCGCGACAGAGUAAGAGUCUGUCUCAAAAAAACAAAGAAACAAACAAACAAAAACAUAAAAAUAACAAAACCCAAGAUGACAUGAAUGUAACAAAGAUAAACAUUUUGUUCUACUGAACAGUUUCUUUUAUCUUGGUCUUGUCCUUCUAAUUUUCUUUCUUUGUGUAUGUUUUAUAUGUUCAUAAGUAGGUAUAGUAUAUGCCUAUAAUUUCCAGAAAUAUAAAUAUUCAUCUAUUCAGAGCACAAUGUUCAAAAAUAUUUUAUCAUAAGGAUGCACAACAAAAACUGUUUAGAUAUCCCUGAACUAGAUUAAUACCUCUUACCAUCUUUUGUCAACAAAUGGGUCAGAAAAGUCCCUUCAUUGCCAUUAUUUACAGCCAGUGUCGUGCUACCAACAUUCUCUACGCCUGAGUCAUCCUUGUUCAUGUUCACAUUCGAGCUUGUUCAUUUAGCACCAGACUUGGAAAGAAACUGCAGGAAAUGUGCAUUUCUGGACGACUCGAACAAUUUUACCUCACGCUCUUCCCUGCUCCGGGCUGGGAUCCAACUCUGAAAAAACCUGAAAUUCACAGAUUCAAGGGAGACUUUUCUCCAUGUUUCUCAGGAAGUAAACAGGGUAUGGCUGACACGGCAACACCCUUUUCCAGGCAAAGAGCAAAAUGCAGCAGGGGUUUGGACCUCAGUGCAGUUUUCACUGGAACUUGGGCUGUGUCUGGGUGCCAGAGAAUUUUAAAGAGCAAGCAGGUACCUCAGGGAUCUUGUUGUCAAACCCCUCAUUAUAUGAGUGAGACACAGAAGGACAAAGUUGGAAUGAACUAUGCAAGAUCACAUAGCACGCUAGUGGCACAUCCGGGA